UACGUAGGGCGCAAGCGUUAUCCGGAUUUAUUGGGCGUAAAGAGCUCGUAGGCGGUUUGUCGCGUCUGCCGUGAAAGCCCAGGGCUCAACCCUGGAAAGCCGGUGGAUACUGUCGGACUAGAGUGCGGAAGAGGCGAGUGGAAUUCCCGGUGUAGCGGUGAAAUGCGCAGAUAUCGGGAGGAACACCAAUGGCGAAGGCAGCUCGCUGGGACGGUACUGACGCUGAGGCGCGAAAGCGUGGGGAGCAAACAGG
rnacentral:rRNA from 1 species